rnacentral:rRNA from 1 species
UCCUGCUUAUGAUAUUGUAUCUGGGGGUGCAGCGGCAUUAUUAGCCGGUUUCAUCGGGUUUUUAAUUUCGGAAAAAUUCGGUUAUGAGUUGGUGGACUCAGGUGAUUUUUAUUACGCAUUCAUGUAUUUAGUGUUUUUAACUUUUUCCAUACGACCGCUUUUAACAGUUUCGGACGCCAAUAAAGGUUUUAUACAAAUGUUUUCUUUAAGGAAUAUUUCCGUUUUCUACAUAAAUUUAAUUAAAGUCCUUUUUAAAAAGUUUAAAUAAAGACGGGUGAUUUCUACUAAAUGGUUUAGUAAAUAGUGUUUUAUCAUGUUCAAGAGUAAAUCGUAAAAUGGAAUUAUACGAUCGAAAAUAGAAGAGUCGACUUCUAAAGCUAUUACACUUAAUUUCGAUAGUAAACAGUAAUGUGAGAGAAAAGGUGAAAAUUUAUCAACAUGAGAAGUGAAAAUUAUUGAAACUUAAUGUAUAAACUGUUAAAGCUUUGGUAAUAACGUACCUUUUGUAUAAUGGGCUAGCAAGUUAAUAUAUGUAGCAAGCUUAAAUUUAUGUAGGCGUAGAUAAUUCGUUUAAAGUUACAUAUAUUAAACCCGAAACUAAUCGAUCUAAUUAUGGACAGGUUGAAAGAUUACUUAAGGACCGAACCCGUGAAUGUUGCAUUAUUCUGGGAUGAUCUGUAAUUAGGGGUGAAAGGCCAACCAAGAUUAGUGAUAGCUGGUUCUCCACGAAAAUUAUUUUAGUAACGAUAGUAAGAUUAGGUUUUUAAGGUAAAGUUAUUUUUAAGUACAGUGAUAGAAUAUUUGACUAUAUUUCGAAAAACUAAUAAUGUAAAAAUCUAAAUAUACUAAUUUAGACAUGUUCGCGCAAAGGUGAUAUGUCAAGAGGGAAACAGCCCAGACCGUUAGAUAAGGUACCCAAUAACAAUUAAGUAAAAAGGUUAAAAUAAAAUAAGUUACUUAGGGGAUAGGCUUGGAAGCAGCCAUUCAUUAAAGAAAGAGUAAAAGCUCACUAAGUUAAUAUAACAUAACGAGAAUAAAUGUUAAGCUUUUGAAAAAUCGAUAAUGUAAGGGUAGUAAAACUAUUAACCGAAGUUGCGGAAGUACAUAUGUGUACUUGGUAGUGGAGUUCUCUGUAACUUAAUGAAGAAUAAUUGUGAAAUUAUUUUGAAAGAUCAGUUUUAAUUAUGCUAGUGAUAGUAACGUAAAAUUAUAACAUAUAAAAAUCGUAAUCGCUGAAAAUUCUAGAGUUUCGUGGUAAGGGAAAACUUCUACGUCAAAUACGUUCUCUAAAAAAAAGACUAACGUCGUAAGUUUAAUGAGUAGACUAUUUAUUUGACAUUUUUCAAUUAAAAUAUUAGAUUAUAGUUUUUUUGGUAUUUCUUUUGUAAAAAUUUAAAAAAAAAUAAAUAGCUCUUAAUUUUAAAUUAAGAUGUACAUUUCAAUCUUAACGUAUUAAAACUGACACUAGUGAAUUCGUUGAAAAUACUAAGGCGAUAGAAGAAUAUAGUUGAAGGAACUCGGCAAAAUGACUCUGUAACAUUUGGAUAAGGAGGACUUUAGGUGACUAGAGUAUCAAAAAAGAGAGGAUGGCGACUGUUUAUCAAAAACACAGGACUUUGCUAAAUUUUAUAAUUAUGUAUAAAGUCUGACACCUGCCCAGUUCUUUAAGGUAAACAAUUCUAAGUUAUGCUUAGUGGUUGAAGCCCAAGUAAACGGCGGCUGUAACUCUGACGGUCCGAAGGUAGCGAAAUUCAUUGGCGGGUAAGUUCCGUCCUGCAUGAAUGGUGUAACGACUGUCCUACUGUCUCCAACUAUAAUCUAGUGAACCCGAAUACUAGGUGAAAAUGCCUAGACUGAAUAGCGGGACGGAAAGACCCCGUGCACCUUUACUAGAACCUUAUAUUACUUUAGCGUUUUAUUUUUUUACGGUAGAUCUGUCUAUGACCGUGAUUAUUAGAAUCUUUAGUUAAGAACUUCAAAAACGACACAGUAUUAAGUACUUUAGUUCAAAUUUGUAAGGAUGCUAGUUUCACUGGGGCGGUGACCUCCUAAAAAGUAACGGG